AAUGAUUCAUUGGUGUUUUCAUUUUUAGAGGUACUAAACGUGUGGCACAUGUUAAAUGGUUGACUGAGUACCUCAUGGACUAUCAUCAGUGCCAAGUGAAGAUUUAAGCUUUUGAAAUAUUUUAAUGUAAUUUUUAAGUACAUUAACCACAUACACUAAAAUACGCGAGCACAAUAAAUAUUUCCAGAGCUAAAUGAACAUGAUUGUGUUAAUUGGUGCUAGUGGAACAAUUUCAACAAAGCCCAGAGAAAAGCUGAGACAACUCAUUAAACAGUGUUUUGGCCACAGACGCAGUUUCAAAAUAAGUUAUUUCCCUUGUAUGCACGUUCUACACAUUAUCUACACACACAAUGUCUGCUUCAAGAAUAAUCACUCGUGUGUUCUUUAUUCAUUCAUUUAUUUAUAGGCCGAUGGGAGUUGUGAGAUACAAAUUCUUUCUUGUUUCUUUUAUCUUAAAAUAUAACACUGUUAUUUGUGUGAACAGUACACAACAUAAAUAGUGUUAUAUAAUUUGUAUAGGCAUCUGUUAUCUUUUUGACUUUUGAGGCAAAGUGGAGCAUUUGAAAUAAAAAUCUGCGUUUUGUAAGAGGAAACAAAGCACUUUGGAUAAUAUAAACAUUAUAAGAACGUUCUGAGAAAAGGAAAAUCUAUAGUGCUUUUUAUUUAAUUUUGAUUUUAUAAAACGCAGACAGGGGCCAGAAAGAUACAUACGGAUGCAAAGAUAGAAAUAUAAACAGAUAUUUUGCGGUUUUAGCAAUAUCCAUUUGCUCCAUCAACAAUUGAAGCCGACUUUAAAAUCUUGCUGGCAUGAACUCUAGGGAAUAAUAAAUUUCCCUGUCUUUUAUCAAAGAACAUAUUAGUUAUGACUGUACUAAACUGUACAAGGAAGACGAAAACUUGGAGUGUUUAUAAGAUGUAAGGAGUACAGGAUGUACUCAACCUUCAGCUCCAGUUGAUGUGGACAUCGCACUCACACUGUUGUCUACACUGUGUAUCGCCAUGGAGACAGCUUUCCAAAUAUUCUCUUUUCUAAUAAUAUUUAGUUUACAGAAGCUGGCGUUUUCUUCUUGCAAUACAAGGGGAAAGGUGAACGUCGGUGAAAUAUUAUCUCAAAACGAAGGCAGUUUUUUAAAUAUUAGUUAUCUUCUCAAUGUUAGUGAAAACUCAAUAUCUACAGACGCAGCAUAUCUCAGUGUUGACGUGUGCCAAAAAAGCAACAGAUCACCUCUGUGCAAAUUUAUAAGGCUACAGCAGUCUCAGGACUUCACUGUGAAAUAUAAUGAUGUCAGAGAUGACACACUGUGUGUAGCAGAGCUUCGCUACAUCACCAGCUCCAUGAGGACCUGGGAGAUAAAGAUUUCACAGCUGCUCACUCGGUCCAUCACUGCUAUAUAUCUCGACAUUCAGAACAAAACUCUACACAGACAGACAGUGCUGCAGAUACCCAUUGAUGUGACAUACCCAUCCAAAGUCACAAAUCUGACCGUAGACGGACAAGAAGUGAAUAAUACUCAUCACAUUAACGAGGGUCAGGAAGUCAACGUCUGCUGCUCUUUUAACAGAGGAAAUCCUCCUGCUGUCUUCAGUCUCUUAGACAUAAGUGGAAAGGAUAUUGCUCAUAAAGUGGAUAAAAACGCAAUAAAAAUGGAGAGGGGUGAAGAGCAUCUAAAGGUUUCUCUGUCAGUCAGAUGUCAAGACGACUGGCCGACAGUCCGUUGUGAAGGAAACGGGUCGGAAAGAAAUAGAUCGGUGUCCUUUCUUGUGAGAUGUGCUCCUCAGUUUGUUGACGGUCCUGUCACAUUUGUAUCCUCAGAAUUGGAGAAAGUAACAUUUCGUGUAAAAGCACACACAACAAUAUUCAAGGAAUGUUUCCUGACACCGACCCCGUCACAGGAUACAUUCAUACCGAUGGUGAAAUGCAACCUGAGUGGAGAGCCUCCUAAUCUGUUGUUGACGCUUCAUCCGGAAGAAAACAUUACCCAAGGAAUCUGGAAAAUAACUCUUGGCAAUGAAAUAGGUUCUACCAACACAACAGUGAACAUCGCUGAAUAUACUAUGUCUGAGACGACAGCUCCAAGUGUAGAGUCAGUGUCUGAGACAACAACCCAGUGUGUAGAAUCAGUCGGUGUAUUAACAAUCGGCCUCUCGUGUGGUGGUGUCUUGCUUGUCGCUGUUAUUGCCAAUGUCGUCGUUUGUCUAAAAAUAAGGACCAGGGAACAUAAAAACGGUAAGUUUAUGUUAUAUAAGAUUGCGGUCUGCUAUUUAUACUUGUCAUAAAAGUUGUCAUGACAGAAUUCAUAUAAAGUUUGUAAUACGUUUAAACAUUAAUUACCAUCCAUCAUUUCAUUUUUUUUUUUGGUUCUUUACCCCGGGUCUUAGCGUCGUUGUAUUAUUAGAAAAAAAGUAUAUCGAGAAAGCGUUUUGAAGAAAGACAGAAAAUGCUAAUGGCUGAUUACACUUUUACUCGGGUCACCUCCGUCUACUGCCGAAAUUUUCGAAUAUCAAGACAAAACUGAGCUGGUCUAACAUUUAGAUGUUGUUUAUGUGUCUAAGAAUAUCUUUUACCCUACCUCAUAGAUAAUAUUUCAUGAGUGAACUUUUAUGUUAGUGAAUCCCAAGUUUCUUCGUUUGGCUUCUCGUGAAUUGCAUCGUGUGAUAUUUCGCUAUACAGUUUCGUUGUGAUCUACCCCAUCGUGUUUUAAAAAUGUCGUGUCUGGUUUUGUUAGCAUUUAUUUUACUCCAGGCCUGCAGUUUGCAGUUCCACCAUUUGGAGCAGCUUGCUUUGUGUUGAAAGCAGGGCACAGCCCUGACGAUUAUUUAUUUGUAUUUGGAUGCGAAAUAAAGCUUUGGGUGUGUGUUGUGUGUUUACAGUCACUUUUUAUGUACGUAAGAAAACAGAUUUCUAUCGUUCGGUGCAAUUUUGAAGAAAAAACUGACUUGACCUCGCGUUGACACUAACGUCUUCAUUACGUGAUUGCGUCGCGAAUCAGCGCGUGUCGUCACAACCACGUGACCGAGUGUUUUCUGGAUAAUGGAAUUCUGGAAACAACAAUCAGCAUGCAACAAGUGACUUUGCUAUCGUAAGAUUUGAACAUACUGUGUAAAUAAACAUAUUUGCAUUGAAACACAAGUCCUUUCUUUCAUGCAGCUUACCUACCUGUUGGUCAUGCGCUUAUCUUCUGCUCUGAGCAGUUCACGCAUGCAGUUGUUUGUGUGAUUUAGGGUCGGUUGUCCCUGAAUUGAUGAGUGCAUGUACAUCCAUCAAUUUUUCUGCAAAGGAGUAUGAGCUGUAUAAGAGUUUUGCAUGUAAAAACAUAGAUAUAUCGGCUUUCACGCUUGCUUAUGAGGAUUACUCUACUUUUGCUGCAAAUUCUGUUUAGGACCACAUAUUGUGCCAAAAUUUUCUUAAAGAAAGAUCUUCAGUCUGUACAUUUUCUUUACUUACUUCUCACAAUGUAUUAUGACAAAAUCCUUAUAGUAACUCUUUAGAUAUCAUGCUACAAAAGUUUGAAGUUUUUCCCUUAAACCAUAUUGGACUCAUUUCUUUUUAAAAACAAAAUUACUUAUUUACUAUUCGUCUUAUUGAUUAAUAAAUUAGAUUUUAUCAGUUUACUUUAUAGUAUUUGUUUGAAAAAAUCAAUUCUUGUCUCUAUGGUGAUCCUUGAAACAUUAGGAGAUAGAAAUGACAGUUUGAUAUAACUUUAUUAAUAUCUCUAUUUGUAUUGAUACUUUAUAAGUUUAUAUGAUUGCACAAGCUUGUUUAACCCACAAAACUUAUUGCUUUCUUUCCUUUCCGUACAAAUCUUUCACGAAAACUAAGCAAAAUAGGGUUCUGCAUGUUGAAUUCAUGAUGCACGUACAUUCUGUGUUCUCUCAAAAUCGUUUCCAUGUCCUUGCGGUUUUACCAGUUACCUGCACAAUGAGUGUGGCUGCUGUUCUCAUACUGCCAGUCUCUUUAGCUUAACCUGAUCCUUGUCCUGGAUUGUUCUGUAUGUUUUCUUUACCUGUUUACAUUUACUUAACAGCCCGGUUUAAAAUAUGUAUUAUUAUUAUCAUUUGAAUUAAAUUUUAUUUGGCCCUUUGGAAAAAAUACAUUAUUUCUUGGAUUUUUUUUAAAGGGUCAGGUAAAUAAGAAGCAAAAGUGUCUGACAGUUGUAUAGCUAAAAUAAUCACAUUUGCUAACCUACAACAGCUGAAAGCUAUCCUUAGAAUUUAGACAUUUAGAUUCUUAGUAUUAGGCUGAAUCGUAUACAAUUUCCUAAUUUCCUAUAAGUCAAAUAUCUUGGUAGGAUUGACUAUGUAUCGUGGGAAUGAAGUACUGAAGUGGGAGAGGAACCAAAGAACCCACAAAAAUAACGGGGAUUCAGCUUCAAAUGCAAGGUGGGGCAGUUGUCCCCUCAAAAAAAGAGACUGAGGAGACAAAACUAUGAAAGUCGUUCACUGUCAGCAUGAAGUCCCCCCAACGGACAGUCAAAAACAGCUUUUGCUAUCCUUGUUUCAGAUGGAAACUGUCAAUGUAAUCAUUAAAUAAUAAACAUCUACAUUCUGAGAAAUACUAGUAUCGGACAUUUUUAAAAUGCUAACACUCAUUUUGAGGUAUGAAACAAUAAAUUUUAGAGGAUGCUCGUUAUAUUAUAAUUAAAUGGUAACAAUUAAAUGAUUGUUAAGUGUUUCUUAGACAGUGACACUCCUGUUGUUGAAGCCACAAACUGCAGCCAUAGCCGCAGUGUCCAUGAAAAAGGAUGUACACAAGAAUAUCUAGUCCUCAGCAAGUGAUCCAGCAGUGGAAGCUGUUCUGACCAAAAUAAACGUGGACUGGACUGUAGUGUUUGGUUAUUUGGAAUGGAAUUAUGUGUUCAGUUUCUAACCCUUCAUCUAUGGGCGGAGUUUGAUGAACGUUCAGUGAUAAUCUUCCAUGAACAUGGUCAAGCAAAGGACUUAAAAAACCUGCAAUCAGCAUACACUGUCGAAAGAUGCCACCUAUCGUGUCGUGAUAAUCAUAUGUGAGAAGAGUUUUGUAAGUGAUAAUAAUUCAUUUCUCUGUAAAAGAGAAUAAGUAUUAAACAAGGUGGAGACAAUCAAAUAUUUUCAGAGUUAAUAUUAAACAGAAACAGAUUAGAAGUAACAUAUACUUUUAUAGAAUAAUGUUAUUUAAUGUAGGCUAUUUGUGGGUGAAUGUGUUGCACUGAGAAGACACUUGACAAAAAUAUAAGUUCCUGAAAGAAAACUGCACACGCAAUCACACACACACACAUGCGUAUAUACACACAUGCCCACACAUAGACACACAUACAUCACCACUCUAUAAGCUAGGUCAUCAUGUUUAGUCAAAUGUUUUAGGAACAUCAGUUCUGAUCAAAACUAUAUAUUCUAAUUAUUGCUGUUCAAUGUUAGCCACAAAUUAUGAUUCCUUCAUAUCUUGUCAGAAUGUGAAAUUCUUGUUACUCUGUCUAAUAUAUAUCAGGCAGGGCUACGCACAGUAUCAUAUUGGAUUUUCACAAUCUAGUCUUCUACAUUUUUUUCCACUUAAGUCAAAAAUUGUAAAUUGUUAAGAGAUUGUAAAUAUAUACAUAUGUCUAUCAAUUAUAUAUAUAUUUUUUCCAUAUAUCCUCAUCAUCAUUAUUAGCAGCAGCAUUUUUUUAUUUUGUGUAAGGUUCUCUCUAACAUGUAGUAGUUUUGCACACACACACAGACACACACACACACCAAUAUACAAAUUAUAAACUAAUAGACAAGACCUAAAUAGACAAAUUUCUGUCCUGGGUAUCCUCGACAGAGUCUGUUUUGAUUUGAUUUGAUUUGAUUUUGAAUUGUUUAUGGCAGUGGAAAGGAUGAUACACUGUGAUACACUGUGGGAACACUAUCACAGCCAUGCUGACAUCAUUGUACUGCAUACUUUAAUAGUUCCUUAGACUAGAUCAGCUGACCCAUUGGAUUGUUUCACACUGAUUUAUAUGCCAUGUGAUAUGUUUAUAUGCCCAUUGAUUUCUGUGCCCUGUGUCACCCACUCCAUUCUAUCAUGUAAACACAUCGCUUUCUCAUCCUAAACACAAAUUUGUAAGUAAACGUGUGUGCAUGUGUGUAGGUGUAUUAGUUUAAGUUACUCCUUGAGGAGCAUAGGGCCAUGUGUAGGCAUAUAAUAUGUUAGUUUUUGAGAGAAAGUGUGUGUGUGUGUGUCUGUGUGUGCCAUACACUGCUGAUGGGCUUGUGCAAGAUAUACUCACAUUCAUUUCAUAUAAAUGUCUGUCUUUUUACCUUCACUCCAAUUAGAUUUUUUUUGGUAUGAAAAGCGCUGUUUUACAAUUCAUUUGCUGAAUCAUUCUUUGUUUUUCAUUCUAUUAUUUUUUUCCAUAUUGCUUACUUAGUUGAUAUUGUCCACAUGAUACAUCAUAAAAACCAAAGAUCUUAACUAAUAGUUAAAGGGAGGUAAGUUGGCCUAACUGCUACUAUACAACUUUGAAGUACUGAAAAAAAUUAUUAUCUAAACUUUAUAUGCUUCCACAGAAAAGCUAAAAAUAAAACAAUUUUUUGUGAUAUAAGGGGACUAAAUUGAGUUAUAAUACUGGCUGCAGGUAAACAGAAGAAAAAGGUGUGGAAGCUUACAAAGGUGGCCUUAGCAGUAGGUGAGGCCCAGGGUGAGUGUCACAUGUAUGAUGAGGUGAGGGUGACAAAAGAAUCUGUUAUCAUGAAACCCCCUCAUUUGUGGGACCUGGGUUGGUGCCUUAGGCGCCACCCCAAAAGGCCGCCUCUGAUUCCUACUAAAUAACUGUAUAUCUUUCUUUAUUCUGCUAAAUAGCACUAUAGUACUUUUGAAGUCUGAUAAAUUGUAUACAUUUUGGUGUGCCCGGUAGUGUAUUGGUUAAAACAUUUGCUUGUUAUCAUUGCAGUGAUAGACCUUUGGUUCAGAUCUCAUCUUGGGACAUUCUCUAUAUGUGAUGCCUUUAUAAGCUGGUCAUUGCGGGUUUUCUCCAGCUUUCAUUCCGUUCCUCUCCCAUCAAAGUCCAAACUAAAAUCAACCAGCAUAAAAUUUACAAUGAAUCAAGAUUUUAAUUUGAGUGAAACAUUAAUCUCAUAUAGGACAUUCUGUUCUGUAUUUUUUCUCACCAUUUUGGGAUUCUCAGUUACUCUUUAUUCAUAUCACUUAUAUAUAGAUCACUCAUAUAUUAUGUUGGUGUUUGUGUGUCUGUAUAUGGAUGUAUGAUUGCUGGAUUUUUGGUUAACUUUUAUUUGCAACAAACUGAGCUCAGCUAUACAUGUACACACCGGAAAAGUGCUCUACAAAUUAUAUUAUUAUUGGUAAAGUGACAAAUUAUUUUCUGAGGUCAUUUGGUUUUCUCUUGAGCCCAGUGGUCAAAGGGAGUUAAUUUGGUUUCACUGCACUGAGACAACUGUAUCAUAAAAGAGCUUGAGUUGAAUUAAAAUCUUUGACUAAGUAAACAAAGUUAAUGAGUUCUCUUUUAUGUAACCUAUAACCAUGUCACUGCUUCUAUUUUAUCGUUCAUCUAGGUCUAAGUUAUAUAUAUAUGUACAAAUCAUGCAUUUGUUGCCUUUGCUAUUUGGAGAGUAAAUAUCUACUGAAUCUCAGAAUAAUUUUAUGUAUCUAUCAAUCAUAUUUCCUAAUUUGAAAUAAUGGGAAUACUGAUGUAAAAAGAUAGGUGUUUUUGAGAAAUACUCAAACGCUCGCAUGCAUGUAUCUGAUAUGUUGCUCUUGAUAUACCCUGUGACUUUAAACACUUUAAAUCCAGUUUAAUUUAAUGCAGUCUAUAGCUUAAUGUACAAGACUUCCGAGGGUCAAAUUAAAUUCCAGUUACUAAUGCGACAAAACUUGAACAUGUCGAGACACGAAAUACAUUUAAUACAGUUCCCCUUCUCUACUCUGCGUCACAUUUCUCAUAUUUUCCUGAUUUUAGUUUCACUCUACAAUGACUCAUUCCUUUUUCCUCGGACUUUUCAAAACCCUUUCAAAUGAUUUUCAAUUUACAUAGAAAACCAGUUUAAAUUGUUCUCAAAAUUACAUUUUGAACAAUAAAAAACUUGUGUUUAA